rnacentral:rRNA from 1 species
UGCAGUCGACGCGAAGCACCUUCGGGUGUGAGUAGAGUGGCGGACGGGUGAGUAAUACUUGGGAAUCUGCCUAGUAGUGGGGGAUAACUCGGGGAAACUCGAGCUAAUACCGAAUACGCCCUACGGGGGAAAGGCUUCGGCCACUAUUGGAUGAGCCCGCGUCAGAUUAGCUAGUUGGUAGGGUAAUGGCCUACCAAGGCGACGAUCUGUAGCUGGUCUGAGAGGACGAACAGCCACACUGGGACUGAGACACGGCCCAGACUCCUACGGGAGGCAGCAGUGGGGAAUAUUGGACAAUGGGCGAAAGCCUGAUCCAGCAAUGCCGCGUGUGUGAAGAAGGCCUGCGGGUUGUAAAGCACUUUCAGUUGGGAAGAUUAUGACGUUACCAACAGAAGAAGCACCGGCUAACUCCGUGCCAGCAGCCGCGGUAAUACG